rnacentral:rRNA from 2 species
UACGUAGGGUGCAAGCGUUGUCCGGAAUUACUGGGCGUAAAGAGUUCGUAGGCGGUUUGUCGCGUCGUUUGUGAAAACCAGCAGCUCAACUGCUGGCUUGCAGGCGAUACGGGCAGACUUGAGUACUGCAGGGGAGACUGGAAUUCCUGGUGUAGCGGUGAAAUGCGCAGAUAUCAGGAGGAACACCGGUGGCGAAGGCGGGUCUCUGGGCAGUAACUGACGCUGAGGAACGAAAGCGUGGGUAGCGAACAGGAUUAGAUACCCUGGUAGUCCACGCCGUAAACGGUGGGCGCUAGGUGUGGGUUCCUUCCACGGAAUCCGUGCCGUAGCUAACGCAUUAAGCGCCCCGCCUGGGGAGUACGGCCGCAAGGCUAAA